UAAUGGUUUCUUGAACUCCUAAGAGCUAAAAACUCUUUACCUGAAAUUAUCCAAGCAACAAAUUUAUACAUUAUAAAUUGUGUAAACAAAUUUUUAUUCAUGCGAAAAUAUGGCUCAAAUUUUUAAUCUGUUCAUUAUUCUUUCUCUUUUUCUAGUGGUAACCAACGGAAAAGUUGGUUGCGAUAGACACGGUGAUUGUCCAAGAUCUAUCUGUGUCUAUCCUUGGGUUGUGAGGUGCUUUAAUUGUGUUUGUGAUUGCGAAUAUGGAAAGCCCCCUACAAGGGGAAAUGGGGGAAUUUGGUCAAGAAAAUUUUCCACUAAAAAAUUGAAUUCGAGUUCUUGCGAACGAUCUAUCUUUUAGUGAAGCCCAAAAAUGUAUUAUUAUAUUAUACAAUUAUACCUUCAUUCAAUAAUUAAAACAACAAUGUCAUAACAUGAGUUUUUUUU